GAAUAUUUAAAUUGGAAAAAAAAGCUGUGAGCCACUUUUGAACUUUUCAGACAUUUAUUACUUUUUCAGAAUUCACAUCUUCAAAACCUUAUUCAUCUAAAAAUUACCAGUGAGAUAAAGAGAAAAAAAGGAGAGACAACGUACUAGUGGAGAGGAAAGUGAGCAGCGCAUCGGAGGUAGCUUCUUCGAGGAGAUGAUAGGUUCGGCAGGCAAACGGAGGAGAGCAGAUAGAGAGAGCGUACGAAGGUAAGCAGCAAGGAAUGAGAGCAGAAAUAAAGCGAACGAAGGUCUUGUUCGGCAGACGACGGAGGUUAGCACUACUCCAACUGUCAUAUUUUCUAGUGAGACUCGAGAUUUCAUUCUCCGGUGGAGGCUGUGGUUUUUAGGGUUUUUUCAUUUUUUUCAAAGUUUUGAUGAAAUAAGUUGUAAAUUAUAAUAGUUAUUUGGUUAUUGUAGAGUUUUACCUUUCAAAUUAAUUGGCAUUUUGGUAAGAUAGGAUUGGUUUUGAUUUUUCAGUGAUUUUCGGAUUUGAUGUUAAUUUUUGUUAAGCUUCCAAAUUUAUUAGUCUAUAACUUAUUAAGAUUUGUCCGGAUUCUUUAAAUCAGUUAGAUGUAUAAACAAUUAAGCAUAAAAUUUGAGGGGCCAUAAAAUCGGCUCUUAUUUUUUUGUAACGAGAAUAAGAGAUACAUACUUAUACAUACAUGUAUUAAUAAAUCAAAAAAGCUAGGGGGCCAUGGCCCCCCUGGCCCUAUAGAGGAUCCGCUACUGACCCCACCGUUUUCCCUAUUUAAAUAAUAAUUUUUUUAGGUAAAACAGGGACCAAGCGUGCAACAAAAACAAACAGUAGGGAUCAAGCGCGUAACAAAAACAAACACCAGGGACCUNUAUAUAUAUAUAUUUGACCCGAGUCCAAAUAAAUCCUAUAUAACCGUUGCAAUUGGAAAGAUCACAACUAAAAAAACGGUCUUAUUGACGUCUGGACCAAUGGAAUAACCAUUUUGUGAGAAUAAAGUUUGUAUAAAUAAGUUUUGGUUCAAUUGGUGUCACCACAUCAUACAAAAAUACACUUACUAUUGUCAACAAUUUUUGACGUCCUUACAGUCUUUCGUUUCUGCUUCCGUCGAUAUUGUUGUUUGCUGAUGUAACCUCUAAAAUUUAUACAAAUGCUGAUAUGGUUGAAGUUUAACCUGACUUUCCAAAACAUAGAUAUUUGAUAUAGUUUCACUUAUUCCAUUAGCUAAAAAAAACGAAGGUUUUACUAGCUAGAUGUAUUGGGCUAACUACAUCGGCCAAGACCACACUUUUGGUUGGGCUACUUGGUCUGACUAGAAGCAAAUGUAUUUCAUAUGGUUUUGUUCGAUGUGAAUUGUUCUUUUUUGAUAACCUUAUUCUUUUUCCUAACAUUGGUUCAAACAUUAUAAAUAAAAGUAAAAGAAUACCAGGUCGAGCGGGUUGGAUAAUUUCAGUCAUUUUAAUAUGUCGAUAUAUAUUUAUUAUUAUUAUUUUAAAAAUCUAUUAAUUAUUUAUGUAUAAAUAUGGCUAAAAACUAUGUUCUUGAAUUAUUGAUUUGGGCGCCUAAAACCCUGAUGUAUCAUUUGUAAUUUUUUUUAAAUAUAAUAAAUAUUUUAUCAUUUGUAAAUUAGAUUAAGUUAGAUUAGGUUAUUAUGUUAUUGCAUUUUGCUAGAGGUGGCAAUCGUGUCGUGUCGAAACACUGAACGGGUUGAAAGUGCUUGACCAUAACCCGAUCCGUUUAAUUAACGUGUCGUGUCGUGUCAACCUGUCUAUUUUCAUGCCGGGUUUCGUGUUAGAGGUUUACUUUGAAAUAUGUCAUUUCAUGUAAGGUUAUAAGAUUGAACAUGUUGAAAGAGUAGGAGUUAGGUAGGCGGAAAUGAAAAUAGUUUGGAGGUAGAGUAGAUGAAGUCGUAUCAAGUCCAGAUAAUAGAAUUGAAAGAGUAUGAGUUGGGGUGGUGGAAGACAAGAUCAUGAGGAUGAGAGAGUGAUUAAAGAGACUAUGUAGUUUAGGAGAGAACAGAAAAUUUGAAAAUGAAGUCUUGAUCUAGACAUCUAAGUCAUUUUGUAUAUUUUCAGUUUAUUUAAAGAAUUCAAAAAACUUGCAUAUAAAUAAAAGAGUCAUUUUCGUGUCAUAUUUGAGUUGAAAUUCUCCUAACUUUACCCGUUUAAUUUUCGUGUCGUGUUGUGUCAACCCGUUUAUUUAAACGAGUUGAAAUAUCUUACCCAAACUCAUUUAUUUUGUGUCAAGUUCGUGUAGGGUUUCGUGUCAUGUCAGUUUUUGCCACCACGUUUUUCUCAUCUCAUCAGGUAAUUUAGAUUAAGACAUUAUCUUUUACUCAUCUCAUUAGGUAAUAAUACAUAAAGUAUAUCGAAAAUAUGGAUAUAAUAAAGGGAAAUCUCCAAUAAAAUUCUAAAAUUUUGGCUGAGUUUACGUUUUAGUCAUAAAUUAAUUUUCGUUGACGAAAAAGUCCUAACAACCGGCAAAAGUUUGCAUUUUGACCAUUUUUGACCACUCGGAACCGGUAACAAAUUAAUUUGGGACUAUUUCGUAAACUGACCUAAAAUAUUGGGACUUUUCUACAAAAAAAAAACAUUAGGACUCAUCUGCAAAUCAAUAUAAGUAUUUUUUUUAAAUGUAAAUAAGUAUUAUUAUUAUUAUUAUUAUUAUUAUUAUUUUGUUAAAAAUAUAAAUAAGUAUACCAUAUUUUAAAUUCGUUAUUAUUAAUAUGGUUAAUAAUAUUUAUAAAUACAUUUAAAUGAAAAAAAUAUUAAAGACAUUUUUUAAGGGUGAAGGUGGAACGGAUGAUAAUGCUUUAAGCAUUGAAAUCAUGAAUGUCUGUUUGUAUAUGAUCAUUUCAUAUUUGUUGUUAUUGUUUUCAAUUCAAAAUAUUAACAGUUCACAAUUUAAAAGAAGUUCUUGAUUUUUCAAAUUGUUUAUAAAUAGUGAGCGUGUGCUAUGGAUGUAUGUCUAGUAUGUAAGUAUUUGAAUUACCAACAUGUGUGUUUCUCUUUUUCAUUAUUUUAUUCAUGUGUUUUUUUUUUUUUUGAAAACAUAAAAGAUAUAGUGUGAAAUAAAAACAUGUCAUAUUAUUUUUUACUUAAAAAGAUAUUGUACUUUUGAACUAUGAUAUGGACUACCUAUAUAGAUGUUUAUAGUAGAUCUUUUGGAUUUGAAAAGAAAUCCUUCUAGCUUAAACAAUUUUAUAUACAAAGUGAGAAAUUUUUCUAUCUUAGACUAUUUAUAAACAUUUUUACAAAUAGACAACUUCUUUUUAAAUUGUUAAGUGUUAAUAUUCUGAAUUGAAAACAAUAAUAACAAAUGUGAAAUAAUCAUAUACAAAGUGAGAAUAUACAAGCAGACAUUCAUGAUUUAAAUUCUUAAAGCAUCACCAUCACCUCCACCUUCACCUUUAAAAAAUUCCUUUAAAUUUUUUUUUUUAUUUAAACGUAUUUAUAUAUAUUAUUAAAAAUAUUAAUAAUAAUAAUAAUAAUAAUAAUAAUAAGAUUUUUGUUUGUAGAAAAGUUCUAAUAUUUUUGUUUAAAGAAAAGUCCCAACAUUUUGAACCAAUUUACGAAAUAGUCAUAAAUUAAUUUAUUAUCGGUUCCAACCGGUCAAAAAGGAUUAAACUGCAGACUUUUGCCGGUUUUUUUGGAUUUUUUCGUUAACAAAAAUUAUUUUAGGACUAAAACAUAAACUGAACUAAAAUUUUAGGAUUUUAUAGAAAUUUCCCUAUAAUAAAUAUCACCUAGUAACAAAUUGCUUCCAAAAUUCCCUUAAUCUAAUUUGGGCGUCAAAGUGUAGUCAUGUAGGGGGAACAUGAUAUUAUAUACCAAUUUAUUUUUCCGCAUACCCGUGAAAUGAACCGAUUAUAGUUGGUAUAACAGUAUCCAUACUAAGUAUAAUUAGUAUUAACUUUUUUGGCUACAAACAAAAUUGAUUGGUACAAAUUGGUAAUAAUACGUACCAAUUGGUAAUAAUACGUACCAACUUCUUUCUAAUUUUAAGUUUUAAUAGUUAAAGACCAACAAGGAUAUAUGCCAAUUUUGUUGUGUAUUAAGAAAUUAGUAAAAUAAUUAUUUUAGUUUACUAAAGAAUUCUAUCAAAGUAACUUUUAACUUUUUAUUUUAUUUAAUGUCUAAUAACUAUUGACUACGAUUAAAUGACUAAUAUCGUGCUCCUAAAUUGUAAGCACUAAAGACACUUGACAAUUGUGUGUUUGUGUGUGUGUGUGUAUAUAUAUAUAUAUAUAUACACACACACACACAUAUAUAUAUAUAUAUAUAUAUGUAUAUAUAUAUAUAUCAAAUGAAUUGGUUAGUACAGUAAUAGUGUUGUAUUUAAAAAAAUUUAUCAUUACCGUACCAUGAUUACUUGAUUGAAACGGAACUACCAACCAAACAUGUUCGCUACCAAACGUAUUGAUAGCCAAAUUUUUUGGUUCGGUUGGUAAAAUGUUUGUUCAUUUAUUGUGUUACAUAUUUUGACAACUCUAUAAUCAUGGGACCCCAUUUGGACUACAUCUGACUAUAAUCUGACUAUAGCAUCUCUUUUACAGUCAACAAGUUUUGGAUCCGUCAUCUCUUCUCAAGGAAGCUCUAAGCUUAUCAUCCUCUCAUCCUUAACUCUCUUCCACCAAGAAUUUGUUGCAUCUUUGGUGUCAUUAGUUAUGAUAAUCAAAAAAUGGGUGGCAAAAAUCCAAGUCUUAUCCACCCAGUGGGGGUGUUCGAGGCUACACCAACAACCAACUUCCAAGGAUUGAUACCCAUAAUACCUUUGAUACAUAUGUUUCCAAACAUAGAAACAAA
rnacentral:lncRNA from 1 species